GCCGAGGUGGCGGAACUGGCAGACGCGAAGGCCUUAAGAGCCUUUGGGGCAUUAGCCUCGUGAGGGUUCGAGUCCCUCUCUCGGCA
rnacentral:tRNA from 1 species